rnacentral:rRNA from 2 species
UAUCAAUAAGCGGAGGAAAAGAAACCAACAGGGAUUGCCCCAGUAACGGCGAGUGAAGCGGCAACAGCUCAAAUUUGAAAUCUGGCCCCUUGGGGCCCGAGUUGUAAUUUGCAGAGGAUACUUUUGGCGAGGCGCCUUCCGAGUUCCCUGGAACGGGACGCCAUAGAGGGUGAGAGCCCCGUCUGGUUGGAUGCCGAGCCUCUGUAAAGUUCCUUCGACGAGUCGAGUAGUUUGGGAAUGCUGCUCUAAAUGGGAGGUAUAUGUCUUCUAAAGCUAAAUAUAGGCCAGAGACCGAUAGCGCACAAGUAGAGUGAUCGAAAGAUGAAAAGCACUUUGGAAAGAGGGUUAAAAAGCACGUGAAAUUGUUGAAAGGGAAGCGCUUGUGACCAGACGUGGGCCUGUCGGAUCAUCCAGCGUUCUCGCUGGUGCACUCCGGCGGGCUCAGGCCAGCAUCAGCUCGUCCCGGGGGACAAAGGCAGCGGGAAUGUGGCUCCUUCGGGAGUGUUAUAGCCCGCUGUGUAAUGCCCUGGGGCGGGCUGAGGUUCGCGCAUCUGCAUGGAUGCUGGCAUAAUGGUUAUCAGCGACCCGUCUUGAAACACGGACCAAGGAGUCGUCUUCGUAUGCGAGUGUUCGGGUGUAAAACCCCUACGCGUAAUGAAAGUGAACGCAGGUGAGAGCUUCGGCGCAUCAUCGACCGAUCCUGAUGUUCUCGGAUGGAUUUGAGUAAGAGCAUACGGGGCCGGACCCGAAAGAAGGUGAACUAUGCCUGUGUAGGGUGAAGCCAGAGGAAACUCUGGUGGAGGCUCGCAGCGGUUCUGACGUGCAAAUCGAUCGUCAAACAUGGGCAUGGGGGCGAAAGACUAAUCGAACCUUCUAGUAGCUGGUUUC